rnacentral:lncRNA from 1 species
CUCUUUACCAAGGUUCAAAUCAAAACGACGGUCGGAGGGUCCAGACAUUUUCAAAGGUGUUGAAGAAAGAAGAGGUCGGAUAAAUCAAGAUCUUAGAAGUACAAGAAGGGAGUUUCUGCAAGCGAAAAUUCAAGUGUGCUUUGAAACGAACUGCGUGCCUCUAUAAAAAAAAUCAGCACUCGACGGGAUUUCAGAGACCGAAGAGGUGAGCUUAGAGUUCGAAAAUGCCGAUUCAAAAAUCGAAGAGGCAAGCUCAGAAAUCGGAGAAGCAUCUUGCUUUUCCAGACGCAUUAGCACCCGUCACACGCAAACUCAGCUUUGCGGAAAUCACGGGAAUUUGUUAAAGUGCCAAUCCUAGAUAUCGAAGAGGCGCCAGUCUUUUUCAGCCUCGUCAGCACCCGUCACGCGCAAACUCAGCUUUGCGGAAAUCACGGGCAAUUUGUCGAAGCGCAGAUCCCAGAUAUCGAAGAGGCGCCAUUCUUUUUCAGCCUCGUCAACACUUAUCACAUGCACACUCAGCUUGACGAAAAUUACGGACAAUUUGUCGAAGAUUUCUGAUAAAGAAGAAAGCACGUGAAGCCAUACUGAUCAAUCACGCAUUGGUUGCCGACACGAGUAAAAGAAUAGUACCUCUACAGGUACUAAAGAAAUUCCUAUAACUGUCCACCUUCACCUUUCAUAGCAAGGCAGACAUACAGAACCUUUCUUCAUCUUUGAGAAUGCAUUCCCAACGAAGCCU